CACUAGAUGGCUGAAAGCAAGUACUGGCUUCUUAAA
rnacentral:tRNA from 1 species